rnacentral:rRNA from 1 species
UAGCAUAUCAAUAAGCGGAGGAAAAGAAACCAACAGGGAUUACCUCAGUAACGGCGAGUGAAGCGGUAACAGCUCAAAUUUGAAAUCUGGCUCUUUUAGGGUCCGAGUUGUAAUUUGUAGAAGAUGCUUUGGGCGUGGCUCCGGUCUAAGUUCCUUGGAACAGGACGUCAUAGAGGGUGAGAAUCCCGUAUGUGACUGGUAGCUUUCGCCCGUGUAAAGCUCUUUCGACGAGUCGAGUUGUUUGGGAAUGCAGCUCAAAAUGGGUGGUAAAUUUCAUCUAAAGCUAAAUAUUGGCCAGAGACCGAUAGCGCACAAGUAGAGUGAUCGAAAGAUGAAAAGCACUUUGGAAAGAGAGUUAAACAGUACGUGAAAUUGUUGAAAGGGAAGCGCUUGCAACCAGACUCGCAGGCCGUCGAUCAUCCGGGGUUCUCCCCGGUGCACUCGGCGGUUUUCGGGCCAGCAUCGGUUUGGGUGGUGGGAUAAAGGCCUUGGGAAUGUAGCUUCUUUCGGGGAGUGUUAUAGCCCUCGGUGCAAUGCCGCCUACCCGGACCGAGGACCGCGCUUCGGCUAGGAUGCUGGCGUAAUGGUUGUAAGCGACCCGUCUUGAAACACGGACCAAGGAGUCUAACAUCUAUGCGAGUAUUUGGGUGUUAAACCCAUAUGCGUAAUGAAAGUGAACGGAGGUGAGAACCCUUAAGGGUGCAUCAUCGACCGAUCCUGAUGUCUUCGGAUGGAUUUGAGUAAGAGCAUAGCUGUUGGGACCCGAAAGAUGGUGAACUAUGCCUAAAUAGGGUGAAGCCAGAGGAAACUCUGGUGGAGGCUCGCAGCGGUUCUGACGUGCAAAUCGAUCGUCAAAUUUGGGUAUAGGGGCGAAAGACUAAUCGAACCAUCUAGUAGCUGGUUCCUG